CGCUGGCGGCGUGCCUAAUACAUGCAAGUCGUACGCUUCUUUUUCCACCGGAGCUUGCUCCACCGGAAAAAGAAGAGUGGCGAACGGGUGAGUAACACGUGGGUAACCUGCCCAUCAGAAGGGGAUAACACUUGGAAACAGGUGCUAAUACCGUAUAACAAUCGAAACCGCAUGGUUUUGAUUUGAAAGGCGCUUUCGGGUGUCGCUGAUGGAUGGACCCGCGGUGCAUUAGCUAGUUGGUGAGGUAACGGCUCACCAAGGCUACGAUGCAUAGCCGACCUGAGAGGGUGAUCGGCCACAUUGGGACUGAGACACGGCCCAAACUCCUACGGGAGGCAGCAGUAGGGAAUCUUCGGCAAUGGACGAAAGUCUGACCGAGCAACGCCGCGUGAGUGAAGAAGGUUUUCGGAUCGUAAAACUCUGUUGUUAGAGAAGAACAAGGAUGAGAGUAACUGUUCAUCCCUUGACGGUAUCUAACCAGAAAGCCACGGCUAACUACGUGCCAGCAGCCGCGGUAAUACGUAGGUGGCAAGCGUUGUCCGGAUUUAUUGGGCGUAAAGCGAGCGCAGGCGGUUUCUUAAGUCUGAUGUGAAAGCCCCCGGCUCAACCGGGGAGGGUCAUUGGAAACUGGGAGACUUGAGUGCAGAAGAGGAGAGUGGAAUUCCAUGUGUAGCGGUGAAAUGCGUAGAUAUAUGGAGGAACACCAGUGGCGAAGGCGGCUCUCUGGUCUGUAACUGACGCUGAGGCUCGAAAGCGUGGGGAGCAAACAGGAUUAGAUACCCUGGUAGUCCACGCCGUAAACGAUGAGUGCUAAGUGUUGGAGGGUUUCCGCCCUUCAGUGCUGCAGCUAACGCAUUAAGCACUCCGCCUGGGGAGUACGACCGCAAGGUUGAAACUCAAAGGAAUUGACGGGGGCCCGCACAAGCGGUGGAGCAUGUGGUUUAAUUCGAAGCAACGCGAAGAACCUUACCAGGUCUUGACAUCCUUUGACCACUCUAGAGAUAGAGCUUCCCCUUCGGGGGCAAAGUGACAGGUGGUGCAUGGUUGUCGUCAGCUCGUGUCGUGAGAUGUUGGGUUAAGUCCCGCAACGAGCGCAACCCUUAUUGUUAGUUGCCAUCAUUUAGUUGGGCACUCUAGCAAGACUGCCGGUGACAAACCGGAGGAAGGUGGGGAUGACGUCAAAUCAUCAUGCCCCUUAUGACCUGGGCUACACACGUGCUACAAUGGGAAGUACAACGAGUCGCGAAGUCGCGAGGCUAAGCUAAUCUCUUAAAGCUUCUCUCAGUUCGGAUUGUAGGCUGCAACUCGCCUACAUGAAGCCGGAAUCGCUAGUAAUCGCGGAUCAGCACGCCGCGGUGAAUACGUUCCCGGGCCUUGUACACACCGCCCGUCACACCACGAGAGUUUGUAACACCCGAAGUCGGUGAGGUAACCUUUUGGAGCCAGCCGCCUAAGGUGGGAUAGAUGAUUG
rnacentral:rRNA from 1 species